CAUCCCGCCACUGGACCCACGUGUAGAAAACAAAAAAACAAAAAAAACAAGACGACCAUCACUGCUGUGUAGACGACUCAUUUUCCUAUUCUUCUUCUUGAUCUAUCAUCUCUUUCUUCUU
rnacentral:ribozyme from 12 species